GAUGAACGCUGGCGGCGUGCCUAAUACAUGCAAGUCGAGCGAAUGGAUUAAGAGCUUGCUCUUAUGAAGUUAGCGGCGGACGGGUGAGUAACACGUGGGUAACCUGCCCAUAAGACUGGGAUAACUCCGGGAAACCGGGGCUAAUACCGGAUAACAUUUUGAACCGCAUGGUUCGAAAUUGAAAGGCGGCUUCGGCUGUCACUUAUGGAUGGACCCGCGUCGCAUUAGCUAGUUGGUGAGGUAACGGCUCACCAAGGCAACGAUGCGUAGCCGACCUGGGAGGGUGAUCGGCCACACUGGGACUGAGACCCGGCCAAGACUACUACGGGAGGCAGCAGUAGGGAAUCUUCCGCAAUGGACGAAAGUCUGACGGAGCAACGCCGCGUGAGUGAUGAAGGCUUUCGGGUCGUAAAACUCUGUUGUUAGGGAAGAACAAGUGCUAGUUGAAUAAGCUGGCACCUUGACGGUACCUAACCAGAAAGCCACGGCUAACUACGUGCCAGCCGCCGCGGUAA
rnacentral:rRNA from 1 species